CACCUCUAGCAUUACUAGUAUUAGAGGCACUGCCUGCCCAGUGACACACGUUUAACGGCCGCGGUACCCUGACCGUGCAAAGGUAGCAUAAUCACUUGUUCUUUAAAUGGGGACUCGCAUGAAAGGCACCACGAGGGUUUAACUGUCUCUUACUUUUAACCAGUGAAAUUGACCUGCCCGCGAAGAGGCGGGCAUAAAAUAAUAAGACGAGAAGACCCUAUGGAGCUUUAAUCUAUUAAUGCAAUCAAAAACUACACAAACCCACGGACCUUUAAACUACCGACACCUGCAUUAAAAAUUUUGGUUGGGGCGACCUCGGAGCACAACAAAACCUCCGAAUAACACAUGCUAAGACCACACAAGUCAAAGCGAACUAAUACUUACAAUUGAUCCAAUAAUUUGAUCAACGGAACAAGUUACCCUAGGGAUAAUAGCGCAAUUCUAUUCUAGAGUCCAUAUCGACAAUAGAGCUUACGACCUCGAUGUUGGAUCAGGACAUCCUAAUGGUGCAGCAGCUAUCAAGGGUUCGUUUGUUCAACGAUUAAAGUCCU
rnacentral:rRNA from 1 species